AUUGAACGCUGGCGGCAUGCCUUACACAUGCAAGUCGAACGGCAGCGGACCUUCGGGUGCCGGCGAGUGGCGAACGGGUGAGUAAUAUAUCGGAACGUACCUUUCAGUGGGGGAUAACGUAGCGAAAGUUACGCUAAUACCGCAUAUUCUGUGAGCAGGAAAACAGGGGAUCGCAAGACCUUGCGCUGAUUGAGCGGCCGAUAUCAGAUUAGCUAGUUGUGAGGUAAAGGCUCACCAAGGCGACGAUCUGUAGCGGGUCUGAGAGGAUGAUCCGCCACACUGGAACUGAGACACGGUCCAGACUCCUACGGGAGGCAGCAGUGGGGAAUUUUGGACAAUGGGCGCAAGCCUGAUCCAGCCAUGCCGCGUGAGUGAAGAAGGCCUCGGUUGUAAG
rnacentral:rRNA from 1 species